UACGUAGGGUGCGAGCGUUAAUCGGAAUUACUGGGCGUAAAGCGUGCGCAGGCGGUUUUGUAAGCCAGAUGUGAAAUCCCCGGGCUUAACCUGGGAAUGGCAUUUGGGACUGCAAGGCUUGAGUGCGGCAGAGGAGACUGGAAUUCCUGGUGUAGCAGUGAAAUGCGUAGAUAUCAGGAGGAACACCGAUGGCGAAGGCAGGUCUCUGG
rnacentral:rRNA from 1 species